UACGGGGGGGGGCAAGCGUUUGUUCGGAAUUACUGGGCGUAAAGGGCUCGUAGGUGGCCAACUAAGUCAGACGUGAAAUCCCCAGGCUCAACUUGGGAACUGCGUCUGAUACUGGAUGGCUUGAAUUCGGGAGAGGGAUGCAGAAUUCCAGGUGUAGCGGUGAAAUGCGUAGAUAUCUGGAGGAACACCGGUGGCGAAGGCGCAUCCUGGACCGGCAUUGACGCUGAGGCGCGAAAGCUAGGGGAGCAAACGGG
rnacentral:rRNA from 1 species